CCUACGGGAGGCAGCAGUCGAGAAUCAUUCACAAUGGGGGAAACCCUGAUGGUGCGACGCCGCGUGGGGGAAUGAAGGUCUUCGGAUGGUAAACCCCUGUCAUGUGGGAGCAAAUUAAAAAGAUAGUACCACAAGAGGAAGAGCCGGCUAACUCUGUGCCAGCAGCCGCGGUAAUACAGAGGUCUCAAGCGUUGUUCGGAAUCACUGGGCGUAAAGCGUGCGUAGGCUGUUUCGUAAGUCGUGUGUGAAAGGCGCGGGCUCAACCCGCGGACGGCACAUGAUACUGGGGAACUAGAGUAAUGGAGGGGGAACCGGAAUUCUCGGUGUAGCAGUGAAAUGCGUAGAUAUCGAGAGGAACACUCGUGGCGAAGGCGGGUUCCUGGACAUUAACUGACGCUGAGGCACGAAGGCCAGGGGAGCGAAAGGGAUUAGAUACCCGUGUAGUC
rnacentral:rRNA from 1 species